GGAGAGGGGAGGGGCUAGGGUUCCCAUAUCCCCUUCGAGGACACAGCCCCAUGACCUCACGUCCUUCCUCCACCCCCUCCCCCUAAAUUUUCCAUCAUUUCCCAGUAGUACCACAGGCUGGGAGCCAGGCCUGUCACGCAUGGGCUUCUGGGGGACACUUCCAAACCACGGCAGGAGAGGUCCAUGGCUGGCCCUGAAGACUUCACACACACAUUCACGAAUCAAAGGCUUCCAGUGAGGUGUCCUGGUGUGAUGGAAAUGCCUCCUUUUGGGUUUCAUGAUGCAUUGAUUCACCAUUCUAGUUUUGCAUUAUACAAAUUAUCAGAGCUGACAGCUGACUGACUGGAUUUGGAGAAGUGAGGUGGCCCUAAUGGAAUUAAUUAAUUGAAUAAUACUGCCUGGCAAAUGGCUCCAUUAUACCCAAGAGGGCCUGUGGCUUAAUUACGGAUGUCAGUUAUCUCUCUAUUUGCACCCCGACAAUAACUGACUCCUUUCUCAUUAACCAUUGGGUCACCUUCCAAAAAGAAGAAAUGAGGACAAAACAUCAGGGUGGGGGGAGUGAUGUCUUUGUUCCCCAGCUUAUUAUCCUGAUAAAUCAUAACAGAGUCUGCUAAUUAGAUGGGCAACCUUAACUGGCUGAUUUCUGUCCAACAGUUACCUAGGAGAGAAGCCCCACAGGGAGCAUUUCCUUCUCUUGGGAAAAGAUGAAGUCUCUAAUGAAAAAGGGGAUUAUGAAAGAGGAUCCUUGCCCCAGCCAGGCUGGGGGGAUUGCAGUUGUCAGGACACUUGUCUAGACGGGAGAGCUGGGGCUGUCUCAGGCAUGUCGCCUGAGUAUUUCAGCCACAGCGGAAUGUCUGACAUGACCCUCCUAAUCCAAGUCUUACGUAAUGGUGCUUGGUGCCUCCAACUAUCCCUGGGAGAUCGCAACCUAAUUAGUCAGGGGAACAGGUGUAAAGAGAACCUGACUUGAUCUGGCCAAAUUAAUUGCUGGGAUUGGACCUGGGUUGGUAACUGGAAACAGUGAAUUAACGACAGCCCAGAAUACAGCUAAUCCCUCAGUCUCGCUGUGACUGUGUGUAAAACAGACUGGACUUGCUAGUGAACACAAACAAAGAGGGAUUUGCAGUGAAGGUAAAAAUGCAUCCUUGCACGGGAAAGGCUGGGGAAGGAGCCCAGCUGCACACAGUGGCCAUACAUCCUGACUGCCUGCCUGGGACGGCCCUGCUUUACACACGUGGUCUCUGCAAGAUUGUGAAGAGUGCUGUCUUCAUUCUCAAAAAAGGCCCCACUUUGGACAGUACAUCAAAAGAUGAUCCAGUUAUGAGGAGUCAUGAGGCUGGGCCCCCAUCUGAUAGGACCAGUGUCCUCAGGAAAAGAGAAAACUUGGACACAGGAAGGAAGAAAGCGAUGGGAAGAUGAAGGCAGAGAUUGGGGUGAAACAUUUACAAGCCAAGGGACUCCAAAGAUCACCAGCGACCCUCAGAGCAGGGCAGAGGCCUGGAACAGAUUCUCCUUAGCAGCCCAGAGGAGGAAUCAUCCCUGCUGACACUUGGACCUCAGCCAUCCAACUUUCAGAACUGCGAGAUGAUAAAUGUCUUUUGAACCAUUCCAUCUGUGGGACUUUAUUCAACAGGUCUAGCGAAUCUGCCCAAGUGGGUGCUGUUUUCAAAGUGUCUGACUAACACCCUAAUGAGUCUUACUUUGUGUAGUUGAUAGAACAGAGUCAUCUUCAAGGCAAAGGCUGCUUCAGGUUUGAGGGAGAAGCUGGCCAGCUAAUUGAUGCCAAAUUCUCACCUCCCUAGUGCUGGGCAUUGGGAAGAGGAUGAUGCAGAUGGCCCUAGCUUCUGACCCGGAGGAGCCAGCAGUCUGAUGAGAACGCAGACUGCCCAGGUGACCGUGUGUUCGGUUAGUUCAUGGUGGGCACAUUUCCAUGUACCCAGGAGGGAGGGAAGCUCAUUAAAUGCUAGCUCUAGCAUCCUAAUCAAAAGGAACAAUGAAUAGUGUGAUUUUCAAAAUGGAUUUCUAGGUUGGAUGUUAAAGUCAACUGGUUUCUCUUUUCUAGUUGACUUCAAUUCUCUGUCUUGGUGGGCCCAGGACCAAGAGGUUUGGUAAGGUGAAACUGGGCUUUGAUUUUGUAGGAAUGGCAUAUAUUAUGUAAGCAUACAGGUCUCCAUUUCAAAAUGAAAAUAAUAAUAAUUAAGUUUCUCUAGGCUCCUUGUGUCCAAACCAGUCUUGCAAAACUACCUUUGGAUGAGCUCUAAGUGACAGCAAAUCAGAAACAUGUGGAUUUAAUUUCCUUUGAAAUACACCAGGGGGAGAAGGGGCAGAGGG
rnacentral:lncRNA from 1 species